UGCAAGUCGAGCGGAGACAGUGAGUAGCUUGCUAGGAGCUGUUUUAGCGGCGGACGGGUGAGUAACGCGUGAGCAACCUUUCCCAGACAGGGGAAUAACACACCGAAAGGUGUACUAAUACCGCAUAAGACCACGGGAUCACAUGGUUCUGAGGUAAAAGAUUUAUCGGUUUGGGGUGGGCUCGCGUCCGAUUAGGUAGUUGGUGAGGUAACGGCCCACCAAGCCGACGAUCGGUAGCCGACCUGAGAGGGUGAUCGGCCACAUUGGGACUGAGACACGGCCCAAACUCCUACGGGAGGCAGCAGUGGGGAAUAUUGGGCAAUGGAGGAAACUCUGACCCAGCAACGCCGCGUGGAGGAAGAAGGUUUUCGGAUCGUAAACUCCUGUCCUUGGAGACGAGUAGAAGACGGUAUCCAAGGAGGAAGCCCCGGCUAACUACGUGCCAGCAGCCGCGGUAAUACGUAGGGGGCAAGCGUUGUCCGGAAUAAUUGGGCGUAAAGGGCGCGUAGGCGGCUCGGUAAGUCUGGAGUGAAAGUCCUGCUUUUAAGGUGGGAAUUGCUUUGGAUACUGUCGGGCUUGAGUGCAGGAGAGGUUAGUGGAAUUCCCAGUGUAGCGGUGAAAUGCGUAGAGAUUGGGAGGAACACCAGUGGCGAAGGCGACUAACUGGACUGUAACUGACGCUGAGGCGCGAAAGUGUGGGGAGCAAACAGGAUUAGAUACCCUGGUAGUCCACACUGUAAACGAUGAAUGCUAGGUGUAGGGG
rnacentral:rRNA from 1 species